rnacentral:rRNA from 1 species
GUGGGGAAUCUUAGACAAUGGGCGCAAGCCUGAUCUAGCCAUGCCGCGUGAGCGAUGAAGGCCUUAGGGUUGUAAAGCUCUUUCAGCUGGGAAGAUAAUGACGGUACCAGCAGAAGAAGCCCCGGCUAACUCCGUGCCAGCAGCCGCGGUAAUACGGAGGGGGCUAGCGUUGUUCGGAAUUACUGGGCGUAAAGCGCGCGUAGGCGGACUGAAAAGUUGGGGGUGAAAUCCCGGGGCUCAACCUCGGAACUGCCUUCAAAACUAUCAGUCUGGAGUUCGAGAGAGGUGAGUGGAAUUCCGAGUGUAGAGGUGAAAUUCGUAGAUAUUCGGAGGAACACCAGUGGCGAAGGCGGCUCACUGGCUCGAUACUGACGCUGAGGUGCGAAAGCGUGGGGAGCAAACAGGAUUAGAUACCCCAGUAGUCC